UGUUGUUGUUAUGAUUGUAAGGUGUACAUUUUCGACUUCUGCAAGGUUUCAACUGACAUCAAACUCAUUAUCAUGCAUCAUUCGGCAAUGUUUGUUUUAUGUUGUUUUUCCUUUUGGUUAUAUACCUUAAUGCUUAUAGCGCCAAGGUAUUUCGUGUAUGGUAUACAUGUAUAUCUGCAUGUUUCAUAUAUGACAAUGGUGAUGUCAAUUGAUAUAUUGAAUGAUAGUAAGAUGUCUAUGUCUGGCUGUCGGUCAGGGUUCAUAUACUUUUGACCUUAUGUUCCGAAUUAAUUGGCCAAGCAUAACUUUUACAUUUGUCAGUUUCUAAGGCACUGUAAAGGAUCGGAACACAUUUAUUUUGGUGUACGGGAUAUUUGUACAGAUCUGUAUGGCAUGGUUCAUCUGACCUUGACCUCUUUUUAUGAACCAAUGACAAUCUUAAGCGCAUUUGACACUUCUAGUAAAACCCUUGAUAUUAUAGACGUUAUAAACAAAUAUACUAUCAUAAGUAAAGCAUUACAGCAUUUGCGAUCUGGUAUUCUACAGUCUGUAGUAUAUAGUUCAAGCAAUCCACAUCUGCGUUGUAUAUAAAGAAC
rnacentral:lncRNA from 1 species